GCAGGGCCUAAUACUGUUCGGCUGGACCGCCUGAGUAAGGCGGUAAGUGGGUUCGAUUCCCAUGCACUUGCGCCA
rnacentral:tRNA from 1 species